rnacentral:rRNA from 1 species
UACGUAGGGGGCAAGCGUUGUCCGGAUUUAUUGGGCGUAAAGAGCGUGUAGGCGGCCAUACAGGUCAGCUGUGAAAACUCGAGGCUCAACCUCGAGACGUCGGUUGAAACCAUCUGGCUAGAGUCCGGAAGAGGAGUGUGGAAUUCCCGGUGUAGCGGUGAAAUGCGCAGAUAUCGGGAAGAACACCCGUGCGAAGGCGGCACUCUGGGACGGUACGUGACGCUGAGACGCGAAAGCGUGGGGAGCGAACAGG